CUUUCCACGUACUUAUUAAUAUUUAAAAAUACAUUAUAUAUCUUCCAGAUAAUAUCAAAGCAAACAAAAAGCUUCUUUCCUCUCUCCCUACAUAGAUCUGUGUUUCCUGAGAAUCAAAUUAGGGUUUUUGGAAUUACAGUUUUGAUUUUCCGGCAAAGUUCGUUCUUCUCGAGAUUUAUUGGUUUUCCGGUUAAUAUACCGUAAAGUUGUCUUUCAGUAGCCGUGACGACUCAUAAUCUCUCAGGACUUACAGGCUAGACUUUUAGUAUCUUCUAGAUUGUUACUACAGCUAAAAUUCUGGUAUUACAGCUAGAAGCUAAAGAUGGGGAGAAGUUUUGUGAUAGUGAUAAUCAUAUAGGCAAUAUCCUAUUGUGGAUGUGUUGGUGAAUUCCUUCCAAGAGUGAUAACUGUGCAAGGAGGUGGUUUAAUCAAGUAUUGUGGGAAAUUAAUCUACAGUUAAAUAUUUUAAUCAGUGAUAGGAGCAAGAAGAAGUUCCUCCACUAAAUAGUAGCAGCAGCAUGAUGUCAGAAGAGGACUUAUGGGCGGAUGCACCUGAUUUUGUGUUGCCUAAUACCCGUGGCAAAAGCUCAUUAAAUGUUGGGACAUUGCAUCAUUGCUUCAAACGUAAAAACGUAGACUCCAUUGACAGUGACUUCUGCCAAAAUGGCCCCAUUUUGGACAACAAGAAAGCUGCCAUUGGGGAAAACUCAUGUAGCUUUCCACUUGGUCCCAUUUCUCUGGUAAAUGAUGAUCUGAGUUGUUUUGACAACAACCGGGUGGAUAAAGACACUAAUGAUCUCUUGUAUUAUAACUGGUCUGAGAUGGGGAACUUUGAGGAUAUUGACAUGAUGUUCAGCAGUUGUGAUUCAACAUUUGGACUUGGAGCCAGCAAUGAGGAUGACGUUGGUUGGUUAUCAUCAUAUGCUAUUGAAGGAUCCGGAGAUCGAUUGAGGUCAGAUAUUCAGUGUCAGAACUCAACAUCCAGUGCAGUGGAAAAUAACGGCAGUCUUGAAGUUUCAAGAACAGAGGAAAUGGGCAGUUCAAUUAGUGAUUCUGGCAUUAAAAGUCAACCAGUUAGCUAUAAUGGUAAUUUUUGGCCCUCACAGAAAGAUGAAUUGGCCAAUCUGAGCCAUCUGUCUUUUGUGAAUGGAUCAAGUAAUUCAGAGUGCAAACUAGUACCUCAAAAGAAAAAUAAUAUAAAUAAGAAGCACGCAAAUCACCAGAACCAAUCGGAAGGAAAGAGAAAAUGUGUUUUUGUAGAAAAUGAUGAUGCCUUGCGUAAUAUUGAUGGCCUUUCAGAAGAGAGAAGACAUUCUACUGAGGCCACUGGACCUAAAGGCAAUUUGAUAUCAUCGGGUAUUCCUCAGCAAAAUGAAGCUCACGAACAUGAGACUGCUUACUUACAUAGUAGCGUUUCUUACAUGUCUGAUUACAGUUGUUCAGAUCAAAUUGUCCAUCACCCAACUUCAUCGAUUACCAAAUCUGGAAAUGAUGGUUCCAUGUCCCUUUCACUCAAGGACUGCUAUGCACCAAAUCAUCUGCAGUGUAGGCAGAGCUCUCCUGAUCCUUCUUUUCAGAUAGGUACUAUCACAACAAGUGAAAAGGAGGAGGAGAAGCUGCUUCAGCAUUCUGGAAUUAAGUUUGAAAAUAGCAGUGAUCCUGAAGGCAUUAGCACGAGAAUUCCACCAGCAUUAGGUUCCUCAAUUAUAGCAGAGAGCACUUCCAUUAGUUCUGGGUUGGAUGAAGUAGCAGAAGAAACUACUGGAUUUCAUCAGCUUCAACAUGUCACAGAACGGUUGGAUAUAAGGACAAAGCUCUGCAUAAGGGAUAGCUUGUACCGGUUGGCUCAGAGUGCUGAACAAAGGCAUAGAGAUGCUAAUGUCAUUAACUCUGGAGAUGAUAGAGAUAGAAGCCAAGCAUUGACUUGCAAAAGGACAAACAAGUGGCAAGGGUAUAUGGACAUGGAAAGAGACACCAAUUCUUUAGAUCGAUCUAUUGCACAUUUGCUCUUCCUCAGGUCUUCAGGCUCAUCUGUAACACCUGGCUCAUCUGUAACACCUGCCCCUGAUUCCUUGGCUUGAGGUCCUCUUCCACGAUAAGCUCUUCUAAUAUUAAACAACAUUCAUGUUUGACAUUCUGGUGGAUCAAACCUUAUCCUGAUAAAUCAAUGAACAGAUCCAUGGUUCUCUGAGUUGCCAGCUGGUGAUGUCUGAGAACUUGAUUUGUCGUGGAGAAAUGCAGCUAACGAGAGCAAAAAGUUGCCGAUAACUGACCUUAAAUACUUAAAAAAGCUUCAAGACCGAUGGUGGUGUCUCCAUUCAAUCAUUAUGCUGGCCCAUGUAUAGGGCCUAUCAACAACAAGUUACAAGGGAAUAAGAGUAUGACGAGCGUAUGAAUGUACAAAAAACAAUUGCCAAACAUAUCAAAGAGUGACAGCAUAGUGGAGUCGACCUAAACAGUGGUUCUACGUGGAGAAAUAAAGGGUUGAAUAUACUUGGCAACCGCGACUCAAACAAUUGUAAAUUCUACUCAAUUGAUGACUUAGAGUAUACUAUGUUGAUGCCCACACUUUUGCGCCUUAGCGCUCUCUCUCUCUCUCUCUUGAACAGUCUAGUGUUGGGAUUUUGGGGGUUAUAAUUGGCCUAUGAGAAACAUUGUUAGUGUAAAAUGAUGUUAUCAAUACGUUCACGAUAAUUUUUAUUUUUUGUUUAUAUGGCUAUGUUUUGUCAUUAUAUGAGAAAGAGAAACGGUACAUGUAAAAGAAUUUAUGUGAUAAGUAAAUUCUUUUUACCUUACAAUUGUUUUAA